GGAGGGUUGGCAGAGCGGUUGAAUGCAACGGUCUUGAAAACCGUCGAACGUGAAAGCGUUCCCAGGGUUCGAAUCCCUGGCCCUCCACCA
rnacentral:tRNA from 3 species